UUUUUUCAGGUGAAAAUCAUAAGGUGGAGAAGAGACUGAAUAUGCCCACUGUGCCCAAGGCAGGGCUUGAGUUGAUCUGGGGUUUACUUGGCUUCAUGGAUUUGAAACCAUAGAUGCUCUUACACAUCUUUCCCGUUUGAUUGGAGUGAAGCAUGCCACUCCUAAAAAGAAACUACUCGUUCUUUCAUUUCCUUCAAAAAAAAAAAAAAAGGAGAAGAAGAAGAAAUUUAAUUUGGAUUCGGCUAAUACCCUUAUAACAUCUAAAGCUGUCAAGCAAAAAGAGGAGUAGAUAAUUAGAAGAUGAUGGGAGCCAGCACAGAGCCGAGUGGAGGAAAAGACAGGCACAGGAUGAGAAAAUGGAGACUUGGAGGAGUAAUUUGCCCAAGAUCAUGCUGUGGGGCAGGGAUCUGAAUCCAGACAGUCUGACUCCAAAACCCAACUUCGUAACCACCAAAAUAGGAAGAAUCCCAAGCAUUUUCAAGUUGAAGAAGAAGACAUCAUUCAGAAUCUAAUGGAACCCACAAGUCUGCUCAGCAGCCACCAAAUGCUGCCCAGCCGUUUCGGCCAUGGCUUGACCUCUGGUUUGAUGAUUGACAACAUGUUGGACAGCAGAGAUAAUGCAGGAUUCUUGGAGAUGCCCCUCACCAGUUGAAAUGAGGGCUUUUGGGUGGAGUAUUCUCACUCACCCGGACUCAUGGUGGGUCUUCAAAGCCAGGAAGCACAGGUUGUCUCCUAGAGCUGACCAUUCCUUGUAAGGAAUGAAAACAGAAGCACAGCUUUGCAGCUGGAAAGCUAGAAUUUCAGUAGGGAGUCCAUUUUGGGGCUCCCAUCAUACACUUGAGCAGGACUGUAUCUCGGCUCGUGAACAAGGGAAAAGGGCCCAGCGCUGGGGUUCAGGGGGCCUGGGUUUUAUUGCAUCUCACUCACUAACUAGCUUUGUGACUCCAGGAAGAUCUUUAGACCUUCUUGCAACUCACUUUCCACACAGAGGGUAGAACUAGAUAAUUUAUAUGGACGCUGACAUUUCAAACCUCCACGAUGCCAGUGCCUCACAGCGAGGUCAUGGGCUAAGUUCCACGCCCACAUCUCUGUGUAACUUUGGGUGAGUUUUUAUAACACUAGCGCCUGAGUUUCCCCACCUGUAAAAUUGAGUUAAUCGUACUAGUUUUACAGUAUUUUUGAGAACUUAUGGAUGCAAGGUAUUAUUGCAAAUGCUAGCUACUCUCAAAGCCUUAAAGGCAGUUAUAGUUAUUUAACUUCUCAACGUCUUGUUUGAGAUUGAAAAUGUGUCCCCAGUCAUUUUCACUUGAGUCAACAUUCCUUGUUUUUAUCUUAUCACAAUUUUGAUCUGCUCCCUCAAAUCCACCCUGGGCAGGGUGUCGGUGAGCUCGUCCCCUUCGCUUCCUCCCGAGAACUCUCCUGCCAUGAGGCCCAUCUUCCAUGGAGGAGCCCAUGGAGCCGUGGUUUGAGUCGGGACCUGGUGUUCCAGAGACCUGGCUUCUCGCUCUGGCUCUGCCAUUAACAACCUGUGUGAUCUUGAGCAAGGCGUGUCAUCUAUUUGAGCCCUGGUGUCCCAGUCUUCAAACAAUGAGGAGGUCAGGCCAGAUCACUUCCAUGGUAUCUCCCAAUGCCAGAGUGUAACUUUAGAAAAUACUUAAGGACAUGGAGAAGGGCACUCAAUGCUAUAAACCCACUGAAAUUGAUUUUACAAUAACCCAAAUUGUGAUGCUUAGAGUAACUUACAAUGCAAUACCUUGUGGCACUGUUAUUCAACAUAGUAUUGAAAGUCCUAGACACAGCAAUCAGACAAACAAAAGAAAUAAAAGGCAUCCAAAUAGGAAGGGAAGAGGUAAAACUGUCACUGUAUGCAGGUGACAUGAUACUAUAUAUAGAAAACCCGAAGGACUUAACCCAAAAACUACUUGAACUGAGCAACAAAUUCAGCAGAGUAACAAGAUAUAAGAUUAACAUUCAGAAAUCAGUCACAUUUCUGGAGUUCCCAUCAUGGCGCAGUGGUUAACGAAUCCGACUAGGAACCAUGAGGUUGCGGGUUUGGUCCCUGCCCGUGCUCAGUGGGUUAACGAUCCGGUGUUGCCGUGAGCUGUGGUGUAGGUUGCAGACUUGGCUCGGAUCCCAUGUUGCUGUGGCUCUGGCAUAGGCUGGCAGCUACAGCUCCGAUUAGACCCCUAGCCUGGGAACCUCCAUAUGCCGUGGGAACGGCCCAAGAAAUGGCAAAAAGACAAAAAAAAAAAAAA